CAACUCUCAACAACGGAUAUCUUGGCUCUCAUAACGAUGAAGAACGCAGCGAAAUGCGAUACGUAGUGUGAAUUGCAGAAAUACGUGAAUCAUCGAAUCUUUGAACGCAAAUUGCGCUCGAGGCUUCGGCCAAGAGCAUGUCUGCCUCAGCGUCGGGUU
rnacentral:rRNA from 2 species